rnacentral:rRNA from 1 species
UACGGGGGGGGCAAGCGUUGUUCGGAAUUACUGGGCGUAAAGGGCUCGUAGGCGGCCCUCUCAGUCGGAUGUGAAAUCCCCAGGCUUAACCUGGGAACGGCAUCCGAUACUGGAGGGCUUGAAUUCGGGAGAGGGAUGCAGAAUUCCAGGUGUAGCGGUGAAAUGCGUAGAUAUCUGGAGGAAUACCGGUGGCGAAGGCGGCAUCCUGGACCGGCAUUGACGCUGAGGAGCGAAAGCUAGGGGAGCAAACGGG